rnacentral:tRNA from 1 species
GGGGAUAUAGUUCAGUGGUAGAGCGCUUGCCUAGCAUGCAGGAGGCCCUGGGAUCAAUCUCCAGUGCUCCA